rnacentral:rRNA from 1 species
UACGUAGGGGGCUAGCGUUGUCCGGAAUCAUUGGGCGUAAAGCGCGUGUAGGCGGCCCGGUAAGUCCGCUGUGAAAGUCGAGGGCUCAACCCUCGAAUGCCGGUGGAUACUGUCGGGCUAGAGUACGGAAGAGGCGAGUGGAAUUCCUGGUGUAGCGGUGAAAUGCGCAGAUAUCAGGAGGAACACCCAUUGCGAAGGCAGCUCGCUGGGACGUUACUGACGCUGAGACGCGAAAGCGUGGGUAGCAAACAGG